GUAGGUGGCAAGCGUUCGUCCGGAAUUAGUUGGGCGUAAAGCGCGCGCAGGCGGUCCUUUAAGUCUGAUGUAGAAACGCCCACGGCUCAACCGUGGAGGGUCAUUGGAAACUGGGGGACUUGAGUACAGAAGAGGAAAGCGGAAUUCCAAGUGUAGCGGUGAAAUGCGUAGAGAUUUGGAGGAACACCAGUGGCGAAGGCGGCUUUCUGGUCUGUAACUGACGCUGAGGCGCGAAAGCGUGGGGAGCAAACAGGGAUUAGAUACCCUGGUAGUCCACGCCGUAAACGAUGAGUGCUAAGUGUUAGGGGGUUUCCCGCCCCCUUAGUGCUGCAGCUAACGCAUUAAGCACUCCGCCUGGGGAGUACGCCGCAAGGCUG
rnacentral:rRNA from 1 species